rnacentral:rRNA from 1 species
UGGGGAAUUUUGCGCAAUGGACGAAAGUCUGACGCAGCAACGCCGCGUGGGUGAUGAAGGUCUUCGGAUCGUAAAACCCUGUCGUCAGGGACGAAGUGUUGGGGGCUAAUAUCCUUCAGCAUUGACGGUACCUGGAGAGGAAGCCCCGGCUAACUCUGUGCCAGCAGCCGCGGUAAUACAGAGGGGGCAAGCGUUAUUCGGAAUUAUUGGGCGUAAAGGGCGCGUAGGCGGUGAUUUAAGUGAGAUGUGUAAUCCCCGGGCUUAACCUGGGAACUGCAUCUCAUACUGGAUCGCUAGAGUGCUGGAGAGGGUGGUAGAAUUCCACGUGUAGCGGUGAAAUGCGUAGAGAUGUGGAGGAAUACCAGUGGCGAAGGCGGCCACCUGGACAGUAACUGACGCU